AUGUCAAAUAUCUGGCUGGCUGGUAUGUACUGAAGCAGUCUUUUAGAACAGCUUGUUUAGAACUGAAUUCUGCCCAAGUGUUUGCCAUUUUGGCUGGAAGCCGCAAGGUACUUAAAACACAUACUUACUUUAAGCACAUGCAUAGCCCUUCUGAAAAGAACAGGGCUACCCACACAUGCUUGAUUACGAAGCAAACACUGAACUAGCACACUCAGCAGAAACCUGCCAAGUCAAGCCCAGAAUGCUGCAGGACGUGUGUGAGGUUGGCCCACGUGUCACGGCAAAAGGCUUUCCUAAGCAGAGUACAAAGCUUAUCACAUCACCAUCCACGAUGCCAUUCUAACAUUCUAUACGUAAAAUGACCUAGAAAUUAAAGGAAGGCAAUGCAAGCUUGUUGCUCUUCUCACAGCACAGUUACAGGGACUUACUGGAGAGGAGGUAACGCUGAAGUGUUUGCUGAAGUGAACAUUAGUUCUGGAUUACAGUUAUUCCUUGCCAAAACGGGGAAAACCAGACCUGAUUUCACUAAAUCUCUGUUCUGGUAUAGCAGCAAUAAAUAAGCAUGCUAUGGCCAUA